GACGAACGCUGGCGGCGUGCUUAACACAUGCAAGUCGAACGGAAAGGCCUCUUCGGAGGUACUCGAGUGGCGAACGGGUGAGUAACACGUGGGUAAUCUGCCCUGCACUUCGGGAUAAGCCUGGGAAACUGGGUCUAAUACCGAAUAUGACCACGAGACGCAUGUCUUGUGGUGGAAAGCUUUUGCGGUGUGGGAUGGGCCCGCGGCCUAUCAGCUUGUUGGUGGGGUGACGGCCUACCAAGGCGACGACGGGUAGCCGGCCUGAGAGGGUGUCCGGCCACACUGGGACUGAGAUACGGCCCAGACUCCUACGGGAGGCAGCAGUGGGGAAUAUUGCACAAUGGGCGCAAGCCUGAUGCAGCGACGCCGCGUGGGGGAUGACGGCCUUCGGGUUGUAAACCUCUUUCAGCAGGGACGAAGCGCAA
rnacentral:rRNA from 1 species